GAUUUAUAAAGCAUAUAUGAAAAUAGUUUAACUUUGUUAUAAGCUGCAAAUUAAGUUAUUUAUCCAAAUAGAGGUUAAAGGAAGUAAUAUGCAAAAACAUGUUGAUAUCAGUUUAAAAUGCUGAAGUUACCCAUGACAGUUUAAAAUGUUUAUUGUUUCAAUUUUGUACCUUAAUUUGAUCUGGCCUUAAUUUGCACUCCUGGUGUUUGACAAAAAAAAUCUCUUGGUUUUCAAACAAUCUAUGUGUAUUAUGCUUUUGUAAGUUACAGAUUGGAAAUGUUCCAAUUCAACUGGUGUUUUUACACGCUUCUGGCUUAUUUUUAUACAUUUGAUCCCCUGUAAUUAUGGGUUAUUUUGGUUUUUAUGGACCAAAACUCAAAUGAUCCGGAUUUGAAAAUCUUGCAACCAAGUUGUCUCAGAAAAAACUGGCUAACUUUUCAUCUUCUUACCUCACCCUCAACCAAGUAGUCUUUCCCUCUCAUUUCUCAACAGUCCAAAUGCUUGUCAAUUAUGCAAAUAGAAUCCUUUUGUUUUAAUCUAUAUUGGGCGUCAUGAAGGAAUUUUAUCUCAUACCUUUUCCUCUAGUCUCUUUCAAAUAUUUAAAUCCAACAGACAAACUUUAA
rnacentral:lncRNA from 1 species